rnacentral:rRNA from 1 species
AACCUUACCUACCCCUUGACAUGCCAAGAACCCCGCAGGAGAUGUGGGGGUGCKCGAAAGGGAACCUGGACACAGGUGCUGCAUGGGCUGUCGUCAGCUCGUGUCGUGAGAUGUUGGGUUAAGUCCCGCAACGAGCGCAACCCUUGCCAUUAGUUGCUACAUUCAGUUGGGCACUCUAAUGGGACUGCCGGUGACAAWCCGGAGGAAGGUGGGGAUGACGUCAAGUCCUCAUGGCCCUUAUGGGUAGGGCUUCACACGUAAUACAAUGGCGCAUACAGAGGGCUGCAAACCCGCGAGGGGGAGCCAAUCCCAAAAAGUGCGUCGUAGUCCGGAUUGUUCUCUGCAACUMGAGAGCAUGAAGUCGGAAUCGCUAGUAAUCGCGGAUCAGCAUGUCGCGGUGAAUACGUUCCCGGGUCUUGUACACACCGCC